GUGCUCGCUUCGGCAGCACAUAUACUAAAAUUGGAAUGAUACAGAGAAGAUUAGCAUGCUCCCUGCGUAAGGAUGACACACAAACUCGUGAAGCAUUCCAUGUAAAA